rnacentral:rRNA from 1 species
UCUCUUCGGAGAUGAGUGGCGAACGGGUGAGUAAUACAUAGGUAACCUGCCCCUGUGCGGGGGAUAACAGGAGGAAACUCCUGCUAAUACCGCAUAGCCAUGAGCACCGCAUGGAGCUCAUGCCAAAUAUCCUUUCGGGGAUAGCGCAGGGAUGGACCUAUGGCGCAUUAGCUUGUUGGCGGGGCAACGGCCCACCAAGGCAACGAUGCGUAGCCGGCCUGAGAGGGCGGACGGCCACAUUGGGACUGAGACACGGCCCAGACUCCUACGGGAGGCAGCAGUAGGGAAUUUUCGGCAAUGGGGGAAACCCUGACCGAGCAACGCCGCGUGAGCGAAGAAGGCCUUCGGGUCGUAAAGCUCUGUUGUAAAGGAAGAACGGCGCAUACAGGAAAUGGUAUGCGAGUGACGGUACUUUACCAGAAAGCCACGGCUAACUACGUGCCAGCAGCCGCGGUAAUACGUAGGUGGCGAGCGUUAUCCGGAAUCAUUGGGCGUAAAGAGGGAGCAGGCGGCCGCAAGGGUCUGUGGUGAAAGACCGAAGCUAAACUUCGGUAAGCCAUGGAAACCGGGCGGCUAGAGUGCGGAAGAGGAUCGUGGAAUUCCAUGUGUAGCGGUGAAAUGCGUAGAUAUAUGGAGGAACACCAGUGGCGAAGGCGACGGUCUGGGCCGCAACUGACGCUCAUUCCCGAAAGCGUGGGGAGCAAAUAGGAUUAGAUACCCUAGUAGUCCACGCCGUAAACGAUGGUCACUAAGUGUCGGGGGUCAAACCCCGGUGCUGCAGUCAACGCAAUAAGUGACCCGCCUGAGUAGUACGUUCGCAAGAAUGAAACUCAAAGGAAUUGACGGAAGGGCGA